rnacentral:sRNA from 1 species
GCUGGGCAUAGUGGCACAUCUGUAACCCCUGAGACUGGGGAGGCUGAGACUAGUAGAUUCAGUCUGAGCUUCAGUGGGCUAGGCCAACGGGGUGUCCACACUAAGUCUGGCACCAAUGUGGGGAGCCUAAGGGGUUAACUGACCCAGGUCAGAAAUGGAGCAGGUCAAAGCUCCCAUGCUGAUCAGUAUUGGGAUCUGGACUAUGAAUGACCAAUGCGCCUGCAGCCUGGAUGAGAUAGAGAGACUCAGUCUUA